UACGGGGGGGGCAAGCGUUGUUCGGAAUUACUGGGCGUAAAGGGCUCGUAGGUGGCCAAUUAAGUCAGACGUGAAAUCCCCAGGCUCAACCUGGGAACUGCGUCCGAUACUGGCAGGCUUGAAUCCGGGAGAGGGAUGCGGAAUUCCAGGUGUAGCGGUGAAAUGCGUAGAUAUCUGGAGGAACACCGGUGGCGAAGGCGGCAUCCUGGACCGGCAUUGACGCUGAGGCGCGAAAGCCAGGGGAGCAAACGGG
rnacentral:rRNA from 1 species